GUGGGGAAUCUUGCGCAAUGGGCGAAAGCCUGACGCAGCCAUGCCGCGUGAAUGAUGAAGGUCUUAGGAUUGUAAAAUUCUUUCACCGGGGACGAUAAUGACGGUACCCGGAGAAGAAGCCCCGGCUAACUUCGUGCCAGCAGCCGCGGUAAUACGAAGGGGGCUAGCGUUGCUCGGAAUUACUGGGCGUAAAGGGCGCGUAGGCGGAUCGUUAAGUCCGGGGUGAAAUCCCAGAGCUCAACCUUGGAAUUGCCUUUGAUACUGGCUGUCUUGAGUCCGAAGAGGUGAGUGGAACUCCUAGUGUAGAGGUGGAAUUCGUAGAUAUUAGGAAGAACACCAGUGGCGAAGGCGGCUCACUGGUCCGGUACUGACGCUGAGGUGCGAAAGCGUGGGGAGCAAACAGGAUUAGAUACCCGGGUAGUCC
rnacentral:rRNA from 1 species